GUAGGUGGCAAGCGUUGUCCGGAAUUAUUGGGCGUAAAGCGCGCGCAGGCGGUUCUUUAAGUCUGAUGUGAAAGCCCACGGCUCAACCGUGGAGGGUCAUUGGAAACUGGAGAACUUGAGUACAGAAGAGGAAAGCGGAAUUCCACGUGUAGCGGUGAAAUGCGUAGAGAUGUGGAGGAACACCAGUGGCGAAGGCGGCUUUCUGGUCUGUAACUGACGCUGAGGCGUGAAAGCGUGGGGAGCAAACAGGGAUUAGAUACCCUGGUAGUCCACGCCGUAAACGAUGGGUGCUAAGUGUUAGGGGGUUUCCCGCCCCUUAGUGCUGCAGCUAACGCAUUAAGCACUCCGCCUGGGGAGUACGGCCGCAAGGCUG
rnacentral:rRNA from 1 species